rnacentral:lncRNA from 1 species
GCACAAACCGCUCUGCGCACGUGUGCAGAUGCAGCACUUUGCCCUGUGUCCUUCUCAGCUAGUGGCCGGGGCUCCAGAACAGAUCCCAGUCAUGAAACAAGGUAUGACUGUACUCUGCUGAUCAUAAUUACGGGUUGGGUCCUAAGGUGCAUUUCUACAUGCAGGACAUAGUUAACCUAUGAAACUCACUCCUAUAGGAGGCAGUGAUGGCCACCAACCUAGAUGGCUUUCCAUGAGGAGUAGACCAAUUUAUGGAAGGACUAUUGAAGGCUACUGGCCAUGAUGACUCUGCUCUGCUCUCACUGCUGAAGGCAAUGCUUCUGAAUUCCAGUUGCUGGAAACUCUGGAGGGGAGAGUGCUCUUGUGCUCAAAUCCUGCUUGCUGGUUUCCAAAAGGCAACCACUGUGAGAACAGCAUGCUGUACUGAAUGGUCCAUUGGCCUGAUCCAGCAGGCUCUUCUUAUGUUAUUAUAAGAACACCCCUCUUUUAUAGGUAGAAGCACAAAAACUACUAUAGGACCUACAUACCAAUUCACAAAGUAUUCUGCAUGCUGCUGUGGAACAUAACUUGUAGAUAUUUUCUAUCUAGCUCAUGGUUCUUUGGAUCCAACCAUACAAUUGAAAGAGUAUCUUCUUAAACCAUGUGUGUACAACCUCCUUGCCUCUGCACACAUGAUGAAAAAGAAAUGAUGUUCCUGUUAAUGUAAUUAUGAUCAAUAAGCACUUGCAUAAAUAGUUGCCUCACUUUGUUAUAGGGUGGAAAUGGAUACUAAACUUUUUGCAUAUAGCUACUUCAGCGGUAACAGGUGAAAUGGCCUCAAGUACCUUUUCCAUCCUUGCAAUUACCUUUAAUUGGAGACGUGAAUAAAAAUGAGUGCUGCAGUGAAAAGAGUAAGUAUAUUUUUCCAAAGAAAUAUUCUCCAGGGCACAUAGUAUGAAUGCUAAUUAUCUGACAGAACAUGAACUCUUUUCUCAGGGAAAAAGAAGGCUUAGCCACAAAAAGAAG